ACUUUUUUAAUAUCAACAAUUCAUAUCUGUUACUAAUAAACAAGUUGCAGCUACCUGCUGAAUGUAUAUCUAGUACAAGCUGUUCAAGCUUCACAGAACCAAAACUGAAAAUCCACUACUGCAUUAACACUAGGCUCACUCUCAAUACAUAACAGCUUCAUUUAUCCUAACACCUUCCAAAUAACGUUUAUACCUUUUUCUCACUCACAUUCUGUUCAAUUCAGUCCCAUCCAAUAAAAAAUCUUUCACAAAAUCAAGUUAGAAAUGAUGCAAAAGUAACAAUACUGGUACAGCUUCAUCAUCAGUAGCCAUACCAAGUUUAAUAAAAUCCAUGUACAAACAGACUUAACAUGAAAACUUAAUACAUGUAUUCAUAUAUAUAAUUUGUGUUGCAAAUACCGGUAACUUUUAUAAAGCCUUUCAGUAGCCAAGUCCAUACUUGUAUAGGAACGAUAUUACAUCGUGUAUAACAAAACAUAACAUAAUUAUAUUACAGAGAAUUAUUUGUCACACAGACAUUACAACUUUGGAAUCUUUUUAUAUUAAGUUGAAUGUUUGAAAUACUACUGGAAAGACAAACAACUUUUGUGACAGGUAACGAGAGACACAAACAACUUUUGUGACAGGUGAUGAUAGACACAAACAACAUUUGUGACAGGUAACGAGAGACACAAACAACUUUUCGUGACAGAUGAUGAAACACAAACAACUUUUGUGACAGGUAACGAGAGACACAAACAACUUUUGUGACAGGUGAUGAUAGACACAAACAACAUUUGUGACAGGUAACGAUAGACACAAACAACUUUUCGUGACAGGUAACGAGAGACACAAACAACUUUUGUGACAGGUAACGAGAGACACAAACAACUUUUCGUGACAGGUAAUGAGAGACACAAACAACUUUUGGGACAGGUAACGAGAGACACAAGCAACUUUUCGUGACAGGUGAUGAUAGACACAAACAACUUUUCGUGACAGGUGAUGAGAGACACAAACAACUUUUCGUGACAGGUAACGAGAGACACAAACAACUUUCGUGACAGGUGGCGAGAGACACAAUACUGUAGCACCAUAAACACAAGCAGGGCAUACUCUUCACAAGCAAGUAAUUUGUCACGUGGCAGAAAAGGAACACAUGUUGGUAUUGCAAUGUCAUUUAAUCAUUCAAAACAAUAAUGUGGAAGCAGACAGUCAGUCUGUAAGUACACUUAGGCAAGUUAUUUUCAAAUUUAUUAUAGAAACUACAGGACAACAACGGUAACCUGGCAACGACGUUGUACAACCAUGGUCACCCUCAACUGAUGUCAGACAUAUUGCUGUAAUUUGGCAAGAGCUCAUCCUUGGUCAUACAAAAGAUGUGUACUACCAAUAGAGUAAAGACAUAGACAGAAGACAAGGUUUUAAUAGGGAAAAAUAUGUAUCACUGUUUUUAAUAUAUAUACAAAACACAUAUAAACAAAAAGUCCAGCGGCCCUGUAUUGAUUACAGUGAUAUUGAAGCAAUUAUGGCAAGUCUGCACACACCCUUGUUUUUUAAUGCAACAUUGAAUAUCUUCAACCAGGAAAUAUAUCUAUCCUAAUGAGGUUUAAAUUCAUCCACCAAACCUAAUGAGUGGCCUUAUCAAAAGCCCCCCCAAAUUUUCCGCUGUUGAGCCUAAUCAUUGUGACUACUAGAGGUAAACAACUUUCAUUCUCUGUGUAAAACAUGAAAAUUGAUUGACCAAGGGUCUAAAUCCACUCAUACAUUCUUAAGGAUUUUAUUUUUUAAUGAACAGUCAUAAGGUUCCCUUUUGGGCCUUUACCCUUCUGCCUCUAGGAAGAUCACAUCCAUCAUUUAUUAUACAAAACACAAUGAAUUCCCUUGGCUAAGUGAUGCUUACUACCAAGUUUAGUAAAAAUCUGCUAUGGCAUUCUCGACUAGUACUCUUUUGCAGGAGACAACAUGCCACGCUAUCCACUCACUCAGCACUAUGGGCCAGGUAAGAUAAUUUAAGUAAAUGGCACAAUCGUGAAUCACAAACAGUUAUGAUAAUAUCUACACACAGUGAUAAUAUUUUUGUUUCUACAUGUACACCGAUAUUAUGCAAUUUAUAACUGUCCGAACUUGCAUACAAAUGGUUAACUGGAACAAGCACAUCUACACCAGCAGUCAUCCAUUCUAUAAAACAGUAAACUACAUGUAUACGUACCAUACAUUGGUUUUGACUAACAAACAGGUUUUAAUAAUACAUUUCCAAUUUCUCAUUUAGAGGUAUACAAAUGAACAAGUCUCCCUUGAAACAUAUCAUUAGGAUUCAGGUGAAAUAGCUUUUCAUUAGACACAACUUCUAUGUAAAAGAAUUUU